UGCUGGUCAUCACAUCAACGAAGUUCGCCUGCUGCUCGCAGAUGAUGCGCGUAAUGCGGUCGCGGUCUUCCUGGGUCAGCAAAUUGAUAUAGUUAUGCGCCAGUUCGUUACUGAGGAUGUUGGUGCCGUCGCUGAUGCGCAGGAUGCAGAUCCCCACCGGCGCCGAUGCGACAAUCUUGCGGUUGAACUGUUCAUGUUCCUCCAGCCGGAACGCGUUGUCUUCCGCCGGCAGGAACAUUUUGCGUUCAAAUAGCCACGCCAGGGUAAACAGCACGAUAGCCGACAGCAGGUUGAGCAGUAUCGCGUUGAGGAUCAGCAUUUUAAAACGCUCGAUCACGCUCUUCACCGGCAAGGCAUAGACGAUGCUCAGCGACGACGGCGGCAAUGCUUUUUUCAGGAUCAAAUCAUGGUAGCUGUCGACGUAGCCAAAAUAGGUGUGAUCUUCCGGAUAAUUGGUGAGCGAGGAGGCAUAACGUUCGCCGUCGG
rnacentral:ncRNA from 1 species